UUGGCGGUGCGCCUUAUGCAUGCAAGUCGAACGGGGUUACGAUUUUCGGAUUGUAAUCUAGUGGCGAACGGCUGAGUAACACGUAAGUAACCUGUCUUUGAGUGGGAAAUAACCUGCCGAAAGGCAAGCUAAUGUCCCAUGUGGUGACCAAGCCCAAGUUUGGUCAUUAAAGCCUUCGGGUGCUCGAAGAGGGGCUUGCGUCCGAUUAGUUUGUUGGUGGGGUAAUGGCCUACCAAGGCGAUGAUCGGUAGCUGGUCUGAGAGGACGGUCAGCCACAUGGGGACUGAGACACUGCCCCAACUCCUAUGGGAGGCUGCAGUCGAGGAUAUUUAGCAAUGGGCGAAAGCCUGACUAUGCGACGCCGCGUGAGGGAUGAAGGUUUUCGGAUUGUAAACCUCUUUCGAUGGGAAAGAAUCCAGACGGUACCCAGAGAAGAAGUCACGGCUAACUCCGUGCCAGCAGCCGCGGUAAUACGGAGGUGACAAGCGUUACUCGGAUUCAUUGGGUGUAAAGGGCAUGUAGGCGUCCAGAUAAGUCCCGGGUGAAAUCCUUCCGCUCAACGGAAGAACUGCCCGGGAAACUGCCUGGAUUGAGGCUAGGAGAGGAGAGCGGAAUUCACGGGUGUAAGAGUGAAAUCUGUAGAUAUCGUGAAGAACACCAGUUGCGAAGGCGGCUCUCUGGCCUGGACCUGACGCUGAGCUGCGAAAGCUAGGGGAGCAAACAGGAUUAGAUACCCUGGUAGUCCUAGCUGUAAACGAUGAGCACUAAGGUGUCGGUUCUUAAUAAGGAUCGGUGCCGCAAGAUAACUCGUUAAGUGCUCCACCUGGGGACU
rnacentral:rRNA from 1 species